rnacentral:misc_RNA from 1 species
UGGUUCUGGCAUCGAUGAAGAACGCAGCGAAAUGCGAUAAGUAAUGCGAAUUGCAGAAUUCAGUGAGUCAUCGAAUCUUUGAACGCACAUUGCGCCCUUUGGUAUUCCGAAGGGCAUGCCUGUUCGAGCGUCAUUGUCACUCCCUCAAGCUUGGCUUGUUGUUGGGCCCUUGUCACUGGGUGACAGGCCCCAAAGACAAUCACCGGUGUCGUCGAGACUCCCCGAUGCAACGAGCUUAUCAUGGCACGCAUCUUGGGGGUAACUUGGCCCGGUAUGACACCUUUAAUUUCUCCAGGUUGACCUCGGAUCAGGUAGGAAUACCCGCUGA